AAACUUUGCAAUGCGAGAAAUCGUGACAAGGGAACUCCGAGUGCCCGUAAAUUCGGGCUGUCCAUCUGUGUAAAAAACAGGUGAAGAAAGGGCCGGGCAAGACCGGUGCCAGCCGCCGCGGUAAUACCGGCGGCUCGAGUGGUGGCCACUAUUACUGGGCUUAAAGCGUCCGUAGCUGGUCUGUUAAGUCUCUGGGGAAAUCUUCCGGCUUAACCGGAAGGCGUCUCAGGGAUACUGGCAGACUAGGGACCGGGAGAGGUGAGAGGUACUCCAGGGGUAGGAGUGAAAUCCUGUAAUCCUUGGGGGACCACCUGUGGCGAAGGCGUCUCACCAGAACGGCUCCGACAGUGAGGGACGAAAGCUGGGGGAGCAAACCGG
rnacentral:rRNA from 1 species